AAGAGCUCAGAUUUGAAAUCGUGCUUUGCGGCACGAGUUGUAGAUUGCAGGUUGGAGUCUGUGUGGAAGGCGGUGUCCAAGUCCCUUGGAACAGGGCGCCCAGGAGGGUGAGAGCCCCGUGGGAUGCCGGCGGAAGCAGUGAGGCCCUUCUGACGAGUCGAGUUGUUUGGGAAUGCAGCUCCAAGCGGGUGGUAAAUUCCAUCUAAGGCUAAAUACUGGCGAGAGACCGAUAGCGAACAAGUACUGUGAAGGAAAGAUGAAAAGCACUUUGAAAAGAGAGUGAAACAGCACGUGAAAUUGUUGAAAGGGAAGGGUAUUGCGCCCGACAUGGGGAUUGCGCACCGCUGCCUCUCGUGGGCGGCGCUCUGGGCUUUCCCUGGGCCAGCAUCGGUUCUUGCUGCAGGAGAAGGGGUUCUGGAACGUGGCUCUUCGGAGUGUUAUAGCCAGGGCCAGAUGCUGCGUGCGGGGACCGAGGACUGCGGCCGUGUAGGUCACGGAUGCUGGCAGAACGGCGCAACACCGCCCGUCUUGAAACACGGACCAUGCAUAUCAAUAAGCGGAGGAAAAGCCGUCUUGAAACACGGACC
rnacentral:rRNA from 1 species